GACGAACGCUGGCGGCGCGCUUAACACAUGCAAGUCGAACGGAAAGGCCUGCUUUCCCUUGUGGAUUGCGGGUACUCGAGUGGCGAACGGGUGAGUAACACGUGAGUGAUCUGCCCCCAACUUGGGUAUAAGCCUGGGAAACUGGGUCUAAUUCCCGAUAGGAAUGCAGGGUGGUGCCUGUGGUGGAAAACGAUUUUCUAGUGGUUGGGGAUGAGCUCGCGGCCUAUCAGCUUGUUGGUGGGGUAAUGGCCUACCAAGGCGGCGACGGGUAGCCGGACUGAGAGGGUGGACGGCCACAUUGGGACUGGGAUACGGCCCAGACUCCUACGGGAGGCAGCAGUGGGGAAUAUUGCACAAUGGGCGGAAGCCUGAUGCAGCGACGCCGCGUGGGGGAUGACGGCCUUCGGGUUGUAAACUCCUUUCGACCGCGAGGAAGCCACCUGGUUGGAAGGGUGGUGACGGUAGUGGUAGAAGAAGCACCGGCUAACUACGUG
rnacentral:rRNA from 1 species